GAACUAUUACAUGCCCUGAGAUACAGAAGCGCACAAGACCAACAAGAUCCAUGAGCUUACAUUUGAAGGCAAAGAAAGCUGGAAAAUCUGAUGAAAUCAACACCAGGAGGAAGAAGGCCUGUUGCUGCAGCUCCAGCUGUUCCCCUGUGUUCCCUGAGCCAUAAAACCAGCAAGUUUUUAUUAAUGAUUUUCAAAAGGGGAGGGAGUGCACAAAUAGGGUGUGGGUCCCAGAGAUCACAUACUUCACAAGGUAAUAAAAUAUCACAAAGCAAGUGGAGGCAGGGCGAGAUCACAGGACCACAGGAUGGGGCAAAAUUAAAAUUGCUAAUGAAGUUUCGGGCACGCAUUGUCAUUGAUAACCUCUUAUCAGGAGACAGGGUUUGA
rnacentral:lncRNA from 1 species